rnacentral:rRNA from 1 species
AACUCAAAGGAAUUGGCGGGGACCCGCACAAGCGGUGGAUAAUGUGGUUUAAUUCGAUGCAACGCGAAAAACCUUACCCACCUUUGACAUGUACGGAAGUUACCAGAGAUGGUUUCGUGCUCGAAAGAGAACCGUAACACAGGUGCUGCAUGGCUGUCGUCAGCUCGUGUCGUGAGAUGUUGGGUUAAGUCCCGCAACGAGCGCAACCCUUGUCAUUAGUUGCUACGAAAGGGCACUCUAAUGAGACUGCCGGUGACAAACCGGAGGAAGGUGGGGAUGACGUCAAGUCCUCAUGGCCCUUAUAGGUGGGGCUACACACGUCAUACAAUGGCUGGUACAGAGGGUUGCCAACCCGCGAGGGGGAGCUAAUCCCAUAAAACCAGUCGUAGUCCGGAUCGCAGUCUGCAACUCGACUGCGUGAAGUCGGAAUCGCUAGUAAUCGCGGAUCAGAAUGUCGCGGUGAAUACGUUCCCGGGUCUUGUACACACCGCCCGUC